rnacentral:rRNA from 2 species
AGCAGCCGCGGUAAUUCCAGCUCCAAUAGCGUAUAUUAAAGUUGUUGCAGUUAAAAAGCUCGUAGUUGAAUUUCGGGAUUGACACAUCGGUCGUGCCUUAAGGGGUAUGAACUGGUGUAGUCAAUUUCUCACCUUCUGGAGAACCGCGAUGCCCUUAAUUGGGUGUCACGGGGAACCAGGACCUUUACUUUGAAAAAUUAGAGUGUUUAAAGCAGGCAUUUUGCUUGAAUACAUUAGCAUGGAAUAAUAAAAUAGGACGGCAUGAUUCUAUUUUGUUGGUUUCUAGGAUCACCGUAAUGAUUAAUAGGGAUAGUUGGGGGCAUUAGUAUUCAAUUGUCAGAGGUGAAAUUCUUGGAUUUAUUGAAGACUAACUACUGCGAAAGCAUUUGCCAAGGAUGUUUUCAUUAAUCAAGAACGAAAGUUAGGGGAUCGAAGACGAUCAGAUACCGU